UCGCAGCGUUUCUGUGUCAGGUGUUGUUUUGAAAGCCGAGACGCUCGGCUGGUUUUAAGAUAAACGGCGGCGGCGGCGGCUUCCUCCGUCAGUUGGCGAUGGAGUCUCUGCUGGUGUGUCUGCUGCUGCUCUCGCUCGGCGGCUCCCACGGCGCCGCCCUGCCAACCUCCACCGUGCAGGUGAGAGUCGGGGAGGACGCCACCCUGCAGUGCCCCCUGCUGGACGCCUCCAACGCCUCCAACGCCUCCACCCUCAGCUGGUACAGGAAGACAGCAGGCCAGAGUCCUCAGCUGGUUCUGACCAUCAGGUCCACCAACACCUCCAACGUGAAGUACGGCUCCGGCGUCGGUCCUGAGAAAGUCUCGGCUGCGGCCGACGGUUCGCUGCUGCUGCGCGGCUCCCAGCAGAACGACUCGGCGGUGUAUUACUGCGGCAUCAGUCAAGGCCACGACCAGAAGAGGAAUCUGACGUGGGAGUGAAGCGAGCGGCUGGUUCCUGGUUCCACCUGUCCGGACCGAGCCAAACGCUUUCUGUAUUUCAGAUCAUAGGAAAGAGUCUCCUGAAGCUGCAUCACCUGUAUGAUGUCAUGAAAGGCAGUGAAUUCACCUUCAGUUAGCUUCCUGAUUUAUUUUGUUUCAUUUCAUUCUAUACUUUUAUUUUUAUUGUUAAUAUUUUUAAUCUCCUUUUUACUAUUUGACUCUUUGUCUUUUAGCGUAUUCAGUAGUUUAUCUUUACAGUGUGAAUAAAGAAUGUCUCUUUAUACCAA